AAGGGUUAGAGAGAGAGAGUCGGAUGGUUAAUGAAAGGAGUGGAGAAAAGGGAACCCGCUACCAUCACUGAAAAGUUGGGAGCAGGUAACCUUCUCCCAUCAAUCACAUCUGCAUUUGUUUGUUUGAAAAAGAAGGUGGAAGGUUGUAUGUUUCUCUAAUGCUUCUCAAAGAUGACUCCGGAUCAGAGUCCAAAAUUUGGAAAUUUUCUUCUGUCCUUUCCAAGAACUACUCCAGAAUAUAGCAGCACGACUCAAUACCGUAUCCAGCCUACUUUGUGUAAAAUUAAAGAGGUUACAUAGGACUUUAUCACUUGUUGCUUUUCCAUUAUUACAGGAUCCAAGUAACUAACUCUACAUCAAUUCUUUGGAAGUUGAUGCUAAGGCAUGUGUAGACUUCGUGGCAAAAGUAGUUGGAGUAACUUCGGGACCAAAAGGAAGAAUUUUGGUGUUGCACAUUAAAUUGCAUCCCAAGAUUGUUAAAGAUACUGAAAGUGUUUUAAACAGAACAGAUUGAUUGGAGGAUGCUUUGGAGUAUGUAGGAGUUAAAUUAGUGAGGCAGGACGGUGCAAAUGUUGCUGAAUUUGUUCUCAUCUUAGCUCCAAUUUAUUUUUGUCUGAUCUCUAAUUUGACCUAUUUUUUAUUGUUGUCUACAUUGCUCUCUUUAAUUAAAGUUAUCAAAGUUAAAGGUGACUUUGCUACCGCUAUCAAUUGCUUUUGAAAUUGCCAUUAUUGUGUCAAAGCAAUUUAAAAUGUUCCAUUUUCACUUUUCAUUGUGUU